UUGAACGCUGGCGGCAGGCCUAACACAUGCAAGUCGAGCGGAUGAAGGGAGCUUGCUCCUGGAUUCAGCGGCGGACGGGUGAGUAAUGCCUAGGAAUCUGCCUGGUAGUGGGGGAUAACGUCCGGAAACGGGCGCUAAUACCGCAUACGUCCUGAGGGAGAAAGUGGGGGAUCUUCGGACCUCACGCUAUCAGAUGAGCCUAGGUCGGAUCAGCUAGUUGGUGGGGUAAAGGCCUACCAAGGCGACGAUCCGUAACUGGUCUGAGAGGAUGAUCAGUCACACUGGAACUGAGACACGGUCCAGACUCCUACGGGAGGCAGCAGUGGGGAAUAUUGGACAAUGGGCGAAAGCCUGAUCCAGCCAUGCCGCGUGUGUGAAGAAGGUCUUCGGAUUGUAAAGCACUUUAAGUUGGGAGGAAGGGCAGUAAGUUAAUACCUUGCUGUUUUGACGUUACCAACAGAAUAAGCACCGGCUAACUUCGUG
rnacentral:rRNA from 1 species